rnacentral:lncRNA from 1 species
CUCAAAUGUUGUUGUACGUAACCAGGGAUUAAUUCAUCCCAAUUGGUGUUUGCACAUGUAUUUUGAUGUACGAUAAUGGGUGAGGCUAAUUUUCGUGUCAAUUUCACUUGUUAUAUAUAUAAAUAAUAAAUUGCAUGAACUUAGAUCAAUCAAAUAAUUAAUUGCCCUAAUUAAUUUGCUCAUUUAGAUUAUAUUCGGGUGGAAUAAUGAUAAAGAAAGUGGAAGAGAGAAAAGAAUUUAGAAAAACAGGAUUCUUGAAAAAUGGAUUAAUUAUUGAUUCGAAGAGAGGAGUCGAACUAUAUGUGUGUGUGUGUGUGAUGGUUCGGGUAUUUUGGGACUACUUCGAACAGAUAAAGAUGAGUAAUGGAGAAGUUCAUUUGCAAUUGAUUUAUUUCACAUGCUACACAAUAUGGGGUUUAUUUAUAUAAUGGUUUGCAUAAUUGAUUAAUGUACUUGUUUCCCAUCUAAGGAUAUGAAAGGAAGAAAUGCUGAAAUUUGUCACAGCUGUAGAAGCGAUGGGCAUUCUUUUAGUGAAUGCCCGAGAAAACGUCAUUGCCCAGGGUAUGUACAUGGAUUUCAAAAAUGUUUCGAGGUUGAAAGACAGACGUGCAACAAAAGGCGAUUAUUCAACAAAUGCAGUCAUAAAUGUGGAUUUUUGAAUGGAUCGAACUAGGAGAGUCAAGCAAAGAAUAUAGUGCCAUUAACGAAGCGCUCAAUGUUGCGGCAAAUGAGGAAGUCGAAGAUUUGCCAAGAAUGUUCGAAACGCUUGGUCGAAUAUCCGACGAACGAGACUUAGAGAUUAACCUGAACAUUACUUUUCACAAGGGAAAAUGAAGUUCGGAAGGAAACGGAAAAGCAAAGAAGGCCACUUGAUUAGUUGUUUGUAUCGAACAUGUUAAUUGAAUAUUGUUUGUACUUUAACCCUCGAAUGACGUAACUAUAUAUGUUCCAUCGGAAAAUGGGUGUAAUGCAAUUUAGGUUUAUG